rnacentral:rRNA from 1 species
UACGUAGGGGGCUAGCGUUGUCCGGAAUCAUUGGGCGUAAAGCGCGUGUAGGCGGUCCGGUAAGUCCGCUGUGAAAGUCGGGGGCUCAACCCUCGAAUGCCGGUGGAUACUGUCGGGCUAGAGUGCGGAAGAGGCGAGUGGAAUUCCUGGUGUAGCGGUGAAAUGCGCAGAUAUCAGGAGGAACACCAACGGCGAAAGCACUCUGCUGGGCCGACACUGACACUGAGAGACGAAAGCUAGGGGAGCAAAUGGG